AGCAAAUUAUGCCUUUAAAAAAGGAAGGUGAACAUUACAGGAAUUUUGAAAAUGAAAGUCCUCCCUAGUCUUGCUAUUCCAAGUGUGGUUCCCGGCUUGGCCUCACCUGCAGGGUCUCAGACCACUCCCACCCUGACCUGCUGAAUCAGAUCCUGCAUUUAACAGGAUCCCACGGACUCAAGCCACCUGGAAGUAUGAAGAGCUGGCAGCAACCCUCCUUCGCCCUGACCCCAGCCAAGACAACAAGUGUCACCAGGUCUUUGCAGCCUCUGCUCCUGUGCCCAGGUGCCCUUUCUCCCUCCCCUGGCUGGCUCCUGUUCAAGCUUCAGGUCUCAGCUUACAUGUCACCUUCUCAGAGAUGUGAGCGGAGAUGGGGUAAGCAGCUCCUGCCUGCCAGUACUCUCCGUGAUGUCCCCAGCUGUGGUCGGGACAGCCUCCCAUAGGAGUGUGAACCCCAGGAGGACAGGGACCGUGCUUGUGCUGGCUCUCCCUCAGACUUCACACAGCGCCGGUAGGUAGGACGUUAACCCUCAAUAAACAGCUGUUGACU